UCGCGAAAACAAAAUACAAAACAUUUCAUUUCAGUCCGAGCGUGGCUGGCUUCGUUGCAGCAGGUCUCGGAGUCGUGUUAUUUUUAUCGAUUGCGAACAGGUUGUUGUGUUUAUAAAUAAGCCAUAGCACCUUAAAAUAUUGUUUGUAGACUGUCCUCGAGUACAGUGUCGGAUCUGUGCGACCCCUAAGUUAUGCCAUAUAGUCCUGGAUUGCUCUUUGUUUAUGGAAUUGUUAUCCAAGCUCCAUCCUUUGUUAUACAGUAAUCCAAAAUGCCUUCCAUACUAGAGGCCUUAGAACAAAAAUAUGGCGAAAGUUCGACAGAAUCAGAAGGAUCGGAAGACGAGGGUAUCUCCGUAUCGAUAUUUGUGCCUUGCAGGUCACCUAGGGCCGCUGUACCAGCUUUAUUGGUGCUCAACGACUGCGAUAUCGCCACUGCCGGAGAGAAAGACGCUCUGAUGGCCAAAUGCGCCGGUGUAGAAGAGCUAGACCUUGCCAAGAACAAGCUAAACGACUGGCCGGAGGUGUUCGGGAUUCUACAACAGAUGCCUCGUCUAAAGUUCGUAAACCUCAGCUUCAAUGUCCUAAGAACGCCUCUUCGACAGGUCGAAGUUGAUAGAAACAUGAAAUGGCAAGAGCUGAAGAACCUCGUCCUGAACUCCACUUACAUAAGUUGGGAGAGCGUCCAGGAUAUUUUGGACUACCUUCCCCGUCUUGAUGAGUUGCACUUAAGCCUUAACGAAUAUGAUAACGUCUGUCUUCAUGAAGAAAAAACCACUUGCAUUUGCAAAGAUAAAGAGAAUGAUAACCAAACAGAGAAAUGUCGAUGCCGAGAUUAUAAGUUGAACCACAAGCAUGCCGGAUUACGUAUUUUGCAUUUCAAUGGGAAUCCCAUAGAAAAUUGGCAGGAAAUUAGGAAGCUUGGUUAUGCUUUUCCCAACCUACAGACUUUGGUGCUAGCCGAUUGUCCUAUAAAAUCAUUGGACGUUCGUUCCGAGUGUGAUGAGACUGCAUGCAACAGGAAUUAUGAGAGGUCUGAAAGUGAACCAGAAUCGAGUAAUAAUAAGGAAUCGCCACACGAUGCUUUUAGGAGUUUGAAAAUAUUAAAUUUGAAUUCCACACAACUUUCCACAUGGAAUGAUAUCGAAAGAUUAUCCAAAUUUCCUGUCUUAGAAUGUGUCAGAGUUCAGGGAUGUCCUCUUUGGGAUACAAAUGAAUACACUGAACACGAAAGAAGACAGUUGCUGAUUGCAAGGCUUCCAAAUGUGACUACUUUGAAUGGAGGCGGCAAAAUAACUGUAGACGAACGUGAAGAUUCUGAAAGAGCCUUCAUCAGAUAUUACAUGGAUAAACCAGAAAGUGAUAGACCAGAAAGGUUCUUUGAAUUGGUCCAGAUUCACGGCAAACUCGAUCCCCUGGUAAACGUAGAUCUUCGACCAGAGAAGAGGGUUAAAGUAACUUUCACUUGUGGGUCCAACAGUGAAGUUAGAUCUGUCGAUGUCUAUCGAACUGUUACUGAUCUUAAAACGAAACUGGAGGCCUUUGCUGGCUUCUCAGCUGCUAAGAUGAGACUGUUUUACGUUGAUCAGGAUCUACGUGAUAUUCAGGGACCUGAAGAGAUGAGAUAUCCCAGCAAAAGAUUGUACAGUUACAACAUCCGCUCUGGCGAUGAAAUCAUAAUCGACUGUAAAAAGAAAUUGAAUGAUACUAAGUAAAUAUUUUUAUCAGUAUAGAGUAAUAUGGGAUCCUACCGUUUUUAGAGAAAUUUAUUUGUAUUUAUUUUCCAUGUAAAUAGUGCCAAUAAGUUUGCCGGAAUUAAUCAUUUUGGUCUAGAAUUGGUAAAAAUUAAGUAAGGGGACUAAGCUAAAUCAAGACUAUUACUCAAAAAUUGCGUUCAUAUUUUUUCUCGGAAAGGAGACCAACAUUUAUAUAUUUUUUGCUGAUUCACAGGCCGACAAAAUUUGGCCUACUCUCUAACCCAGUAUACAUUUCGGAAGAAGAGGAAAAGCAAAUGUAUGGUCUGAAGUAGUAACGCGGAGAAAUCAGAAACGGGAUACAAAUUAAAACUUAAGUGAUUAUUAAUAUAAGUAGUAUAAUAAUGGAAUAAAAUAAUCAGGAUAUACUAACUACUAUACCUAAUUAUAUAUUUUUUUAAGUAUUUCAGUGCUAAAAUAGCACUUAUAAUAAAUUAUUUCUUGCGUUUUUUUUGUGAUUUUUAUUGUGGUUUCUAAAAUUGUUAUCUUGAUUUUUUUUAACUGAAUAAUUUAACUAAUAUUUCCAAAUAUUUAUUCAGAAUAAAUAAUCCUGCUUGGAAAUAUGACUGGAAAAUUAAUAAUGUUCAUUUUGUAAAAGCACAAUAGACAUUCCUCUUCAAAUUUAAAUACAUAGCUGACAUAAAAACGUAUAAAUUUCACAUUUUCAUCGAAGUUAAUUUCUCCAACUCUUUUUAAAUUUUUUGGCUUUAAAAUCACCGUAUAAGUCAGAGAGUAGAGUCAUGUAAACUUCUGUGACUUGAUACAAAACUACAUGUCAAGGGUCAAAUUUUUGAUAAAUUUUCUCCAAUUAAACAACUCUAACCCUACAUAGUUAAUACAAAAUUUCAAUCGCAUAGAUUCCAUUAAAACUAGCAAGAGAUACCACUCUUUUAUGAAAGUCAAGAAAACUCUUUUUACUGAUUCUUAAAAAAUACACCUCAUAGGAAUGUAGUAAAUCAUUAACAAAAAGUGAUUGUUAGUAUUAUUAACAUAAUGUAGUACGCAACAGCACUGUUCUUUGAAAACUCAGUUAAUGUAAUUUCUUUAUCAAAGAUAUAGUGAGAAAAAAAUGUUAUGUUCUUACCACCAACAACAUGACAACCUGAAUUUAAACUGAAAUAUGUAAUUUCAGAUAUCAUAUACCAUUUUUAUAAUUUUUGGCAGGUACAGAGAAAUGAAGCAUUACCUGUUUAAGAAUUCUUCUAUAGUACGUCAUAGAUUUAGGUGAAUAAAAUGGUUUUGAAUAAAGUAUCAUUUGAUGAUAUAAAACUACUUUUCAUGUAACAGUGCUGCUGCAAUUUUGUAAGCAAAUCUUAAUUUACUUAGCAGCUUGUAGGUUAGUGAAAUUGUGAUAUUUUGCGCAUAUGUGAACAUAAGGUGGCACCAUAAAUUCUGUAAAAUACUAAAACUGCCAUGCAAUAUAUUGUAAAUUUUUUAUACUGGCUAGGAAAUAUCAAAUUUUAUCUGAAAAUAUUGAGUGCAGUAAUUAAUCUUAUACUUUUCUUAUUUUCAACAAAUUGAAAAGGAAAAAAAUACAUCAAAACCAUCUAGUAGUUACUUUGAACAAAGAUUAAUAUGCGUACUGCUUUUAAUCAAAAUUUGAUAUUUGCUACCUUUAGGUGUAGUUUAUCAGUACAUGGUGUGUCUUGUUUAAGGUGUCUAAAGUCCACUGAAAUCAAUUCUGUGCUUCCUGGGCAGCUUUCAUGAAACCAAUUAUUGCCUUUCUUUCAACGAAAUGCCGUGGAUUUUGGGCACCCUAACAACUAAACAAGUGACAUCCUUGUCACUUACAUUGUGAUACAAUAAAGUGAACAUGGUAAAUCAACAUUAAAUGUUGCAAAGUAUAUUGUUUACUAAUAAAUGUAUUUAUAUUUAAUUAAUUACAUAUAAAAAAGGA